ACUUGGUCCAUGAGAAGGAGUCACUGCCCUUUCCCUGUCAGUACAGAGGAGGGAUACGUGUGCCUGGCCACUACUGGCAGGGGCGGCUCUAGAUAUUUUGCCGCCCCAAGCACAGAGGGUCUGCUAGUCUGCUUGGAGCGCUGGUGCCUGGAGCCACCCCUGACUACUGGGAUGUGUUCAACCCCUAUAUCGGGCAAACUGCUCUCUUAUCUCAGCGGUGUGGGCAGAGCUUAAUUCGUAAUGAAAGAGGCUACCAAACAGCCUUCAGAAGCAACUUUCGUCCUUGGCUGGCAAGGGGCGGAUUUGAACCACUGACUUAACAGAAGGCUCCGCGGUCUGAACUGUCAUGCCCCUGGCAGGUUGCACCUGUUGCAAGCAGCGGUGCUGGAGUCCACCAUAGCUUCCCUUGAAACUUGCCGCAGAUACAGACAGGAUCUCAACUGGGCUGCGAGCACGCUGGAGCCAGCCCAGUCAGAGAGAAUGGGGCUCGAGGAGCGUAGCCGCAAGCUGUCUUGGAAGCGGUUGGCUUUUCCUGGAGAGAUCCCCAGCUGCGCUUCCAGGCUGUAAAUUAAACAAACCGUAUUUCCUAUGUAGCAGACCCCGGGGGCGGUGGAACGAACAGCAUGGCCUUACUGCUGUUAUUUCCUCUGAGUUAAAUCCCACCCCCUUCAGACUGAUGGUGCCCACUUUACCUGAUUUGUAAUUUAUUAAAAUGAUUUAAGGCGAGACGGGGCGGAAAUGCUCAGUGCAAAUGAUAUUUUGAGCUGUUGUGCUUUGCCAA